UACGUAGGGGGCAAGCGUUGUCCGGAAUCAUUGGGCGUAAAGAGCGUGUAGGCGGCCCGAUAAGUCCGCUGUGAAAGUCGGGGGCUCAACCCUCGAAUGCCGGUGGAUACUGUCGGGCUAGAGUGCGGAAGAGGCGAGUGGAAUUCCUGGUGUAGCAGUGAAAUGCGCAGAUAUCAGGAGGAACACCUAUUGCGAAGGCAGCUCGCUGGGACGUAACUGACGCUGAGACGCGAAAGCGUGGGGAGCAAACAGG
rnacentral:rRNA from 1 species